rnacentral:rRNA from 1 species
AAAAGAAACCAACAGGGAUUGCCUUAGUAGCGGCGAGUGAAGCGGCAAAAGCUCAAAUUUGAAAUCCUUCGGGAGUUGUAAUUUGUAGGUUUGGAUAUGGAGUGAGUAAAAAGUUGCCUGGAACGGCACGCCACAGAGGGUGAUAGCCCCGUUACGCUCUUCCGUUGUAUAUCCUUUCCAAAGAGUCGAGUUGUUUGGGAAUGCAGCUCAAAGUGGGUGGUAAAUUCCAUCUAAAGCUAAAUAUUGGCGAGAGACCGAUAGCGAACAAGUACUGUGAAGGAAAGAUGAAAAGAACUUUGAAAAGAGAGUGAAAAAGUACGUGAAAUUGUUGAAAGGGAAGGGUAUUGUAUUAGAAGUGAAUGUCUGGUUCAAGCAUCCUUUGGGGUGCCCUAUUCCAGCCAUUCGUGUUUGGGUAGAGGAGCUAGGGAAGAUAAACUGUUUCGCCUCGGCGUCUCAUUCUAUUCCCUUGGUUCCUUCCCUCAAACGUAAUGAUCCAAUACCACCCGUCU